CCUCUAGGCUUCCGGGCGGUCUGCGCCUGCGUCCGCCCCGGGCGGUGGGACCCCGGUACGGCUUGGGCUGUCGGCGUGGUGUCCCUUCUGGGUCCGUGUGGUGGAACCCACCAGGGCCUCUCGAGCUUCUCCGCGCUUCCUAAAGGAUCGAGACUUUAAGUAUGAUUCUGCUGGUCCAAAAUCCAAAAUCAUCCCUUUUUUCCCCGAAAUCCUGCUCUUCCUCUUGCUUCCUUUUCUGCCUGUACACAUUCCUCGUUUAACAGCCUGCGAGCUGCUGCGACACACGAGGGUCUUUUUCUGUGUACAGUUCCGUACCUCUCAUUGAUAGGACCUCAGGGUCUGUUUGGUACAGUACAGCUUGUUUAUACAGCGCCGUAAUUUUUGCUGAUUGCACUGUACGCAAAGGCUUCCUUUCUCCUGGAUGGUGCAGGAAUAAAGCAAGAUGAGCUCCCCGACACUUAAUCUUCAGAAUUCUGAUGACCAGACAGACUUGAUGUUUAUAUGUCAAGCAAUCGCCCUGAAGACUGAAUUUUUUUCCCUCAAAAUGUGUCCACUGAGUGUCUGGAAUAUGUCAGGAGCCGGUGUGGUCAAGGCCAGCUGAUGAACAGGGUGGACAAACCCGGUGUUUCAGAGAGUGAGUUCAGUGUUCCCUGGCACCUGCUCCCUCGGGGCUCUUUCCAUCCGUCAGUGGCGUCACUGGACCACACACUGCUCAUUCUCCGGCUGCCCUUGCCCUUAUUUCCAAUUCAGCAAGCAAAGUGGGGUGGGACUAACACAUGGAAAGGUGUGGUCCUGCAGCCACUCUUAACGUUUCCAGCUCUCCAUCUAGCCUGUGCGUGAUCACCCUUCAAGAAGUGAAAAUAGUUUCGUGGGGGGUGGGAAGCUGUUUCUCUUUUAUACACAGAGCAGAGAUACGCAGAGCAUACAUACGCUGACCUCCUGUAUGCACGGUUGGCUGUGUUUUCUCCCCAGGACUCUGUGUGUGGAGGCCUAGUCCUCAGGGUGGCAGUGCUGGAAGACAGGACCAGGUGUGCGUCAUUAUGGAAUCGGGGACAUAGCCUUCAGGAGGGCUUGCUGGUCUCCUAGUGCUCCAAACAGCAAGUUGUUAUCAAAGCCUGAGCCUGGCCCAACUCGCUCUCUCUGGCUUCCUGUAUAAAAAUGUGACCUCCUGCUCCCCAACAGGCUCCUGCCAUUGCCACCUGCUACAGCUGAGAAAGCUUCCCCAGCACCCGGCCAAAGCCAGGCCUGCCCCGUGAGCCACCAGCACUGUGAGCGAGGGCCGGGCCACAGCUCCUUGGUAGAGCGUGCACUCAGCAUGUGCAAGGGCCUGGGUUCCACCCCAGCACCAAAACAGAACAGACGGGAGCACCAAGCCAGGCAUGGUGGGGCGAUCCUGUAUUCCAGCCCUUGGGAGGCGCAAGCGGGAGGAUUGUCCAAGCUUGAGGCCAGCUUGGGCUGCACAGUGAGUUCAAGGCCAGCCUAAACUGCAUAGUGACACCCUGUCUCAAAAAAAAGGAAAAAGGAGGAAACAUCAAGCCAAGGAAACCUCUUUUCUGUCUCUGUCAGCGGCCUCAUCUAUUUCAUUACGGUAAAGACCAACUGACUGAUCCACAGCACAUCUGCAGCAUUAAAAUGUCACAGGGAGCCUGCAGUUGGAAGAACACGUCUCACACACUCCAUAGAGGCAGUAACAAUAGCAAUAGAAAAGGUUGGGAAUCUCUGUCUAGUGGGAUAGCGGAACUCACUGCUGUGUCAGCUGGCUCCACAGGCCCCUAGGUGCGUCUCAGUCUGCCUCCUUACUCCUGUGUGCACCCUCUCACUGGAAAAGGCUGACAUACCUUCAGGGGGUGUUUUAGAAAUGACAGUGAUAUAAAGGGCUAAGUUAGGUAGAAAUAAUGUAGGCAGGCAGACAGGGCUGGGCCCUCAGAGUCAGUGCAGAGGAUGAGAACACAUCACAGCUGUGGCUGGAGGCGCAUCCAUUGCACAUUAGGCUUCAAGAUAAAGAUGAAAAAAAAAAGAUGAAAGACCCACAUACCUGUGAGGGAUAAACAAGAGUUUGAGUUCCACCCUUUUGAGAUCCACAAUAAACCAUUAUCUCAUUAAGGGUGGCCAUCUUUUCCUACCCACUAGACUAAGAUUGCUAAAUCAAAGACUAAAGCUAUGGAUUGUCAGGGCCGGGGAUUUAGCUCAGUGGUUUCACCACCUGCUGCACAAAUGCAAGGACCCGAGUUUGAUCCCCGGUACCAAAGAAAAAAAUGAAAAGGAUGCAUUCUGGAAUGAAGGUGAUGAUGAAAAAGAAAAAAAAAUUGUGCUAUGGAUUGUCUGUCAAGGCUAAUGAUGUCAUCCAUGUACAUUUGCUACAUGACUUAUUUCCCCAUUGGAUCAAUAUUACCUAAGCAACUAUAAUCCUGUAAUACUAUUGGUUGACCAUAGUGUGGUACCUACGCCUUGAUUUUGCUCUAUAAAACCUCCCCUGUAAGUGGAAUCCACAAACCUGCUUUCCAGGUCCCCUCCUAUCUCUCAGGAGCUCUCUCUCCCUCAAUAAAAUUCCCUACUCAA